rnacentral:lncRNA from 1 species
ACGGAAUGAGAAGGUGAACGCAAAAAAUGGGGGAAAAAAGCCACCUUGGAUGCAGCCUGUCCUGAAAAUAUUGCCAAACAUGUUACUGUGUCGCACAUGGGGCCAAAGGAACUGAGAAUUUAUGCACGCGAUCUGCUAUGUAGUGAUGGAGAUCCAGAUGUGCGUCCUGGCGGAUGAAGACCGUGUGCCCCAGCAUCAUUUAAAAAUUGGGUUGCUUUGAUUUGCCAUCUCCCAACGGUUAUUGAGGUUAAACACAAAGAGAGUGUCUGAAGAAGCAAUUUUGAUUAGUUUCUGGAAGAUUCAUUGUGAUGGCAGUGCAGUGGACAAUAUCAGGUGACACUGGGCAUGUGUAGUCGCUUGGUCCCUGAUGAAAAACCAUGCCGUCUUUUACACCGUGAAGCCUGUCAAGGGCACAUGGCUCUAGGGCCAGUCAUAAGCAGUAACUUGAAUGGGCCGACCAUGUUGCCUCAGAUUUCUCCUGGAUAAAUCAGAGGACUUUGAGAGAGAACCUUUUGAUCUCUGGAAAAAGAAAAAAAAGUGAAACAGAAAUCUUCAGCCUUGAUUGAAUGGACACUGCCCAAAUCCUUGACCUUUUGUGUGUGUGUGCUUGAUGCCACAAACUAUACUUGUAUCUAUAUACACAGUGAGGGACUUUGAGGUCACCAAAGGCCUUUGAUUGCCUGGGUGGAGAGGAGUUAAGGACCUACCAUCCUCACCAUUUUAUCCAGCCGGCAGCUGGCAUUUAUAGACAGUGUUUCCAUUGAGAAUGUGUAUUUUAAGCUUGAGUGUUUUGCUGAGAACCAGCCUUCUCUUCUGCUCUCCCUGAAAACCAUGCAUGCAUGGUUCAUUCUGCUUUAAACACAUCUCCCAUGGCGGGGACACCACGGUCUGAGAGAGAGGAUGGCCUUGAGUGUCCUUCAUAAACCCUUUGUGCUUUCUGUGGAUGACCCUCCUGGCUUUUGUUUUGGGAAUCCUUGCCAGGCCAGAAGCCCAGACAGGACACAAUCUUUGUGUUUAAAGGAUUUCAAAUGGCUGCCUGAGAGGUCUCCUAGUGGCAUCCCUGCAUAUUCCUAGAGGGAGUGCCUAUCUUUCUUAUUAAAAGUCAAACAAAACAAAACAAACAAAAAUACCAAAA